GUCUACGGCCAUGCCACCCUGAACAAGCCCAAUGUCUGAUCUCAGAAGCUAAGCAGGGUUGGGCCUGGUUAGGACUUGGAUGGGAGACCACCUAGGACGACCAGGUACUGUAGGCA
rnacentral:rRNA from 1 species